GUUUGAUCCUGGCUCAGAACGAACGCUGGCGGCAGGCUUAACACAUGCAAGUCGAACGCCCCGCAAGGGGAGUGGCAGACGGGUGAGUAACACGUGGGAACCUACCCAGGGGUACGGAAUAACUCGGGGAAACUCGUGCUAAUACCGUAUACGACCUAAGGGUGAAAGAUUUAUCGCCCCUGGAUGGGCCCGCGUUGGAUUAGCUAGUUGGUGGGGUAAAGGCCUACCAAGGCUACGAUCCAUAGCUGGUCUGAGAGGAUGAUCAGCCACACUGGGACUGAGACACGGCCCAGACUCCUACGGGAGGCAGCAGUGGGGAAUCUUGGACAAUGGGCGAAAGCCUGAUCCAGCAAUGCCGCGUGAGUGAGGAAGGCCUUAGGGUUGUAAAGCUCUUUCGGCGGGGACGAUGAUGACGGCACCCGCAGAAGAAGCCCCGGCUAACUUCGUGCCAGCAGCCGCGGUAAUAC
rnacentral:rRNA from 1 species